ACAUGAACCUCAGCGUCUCUGUUUCUUGUUCUUCGUCAGGUUUGAUGUUGCAGAGCCUUUUCUUCCUCCAUCUCCUCAGACUAAUUUCACCUGGUGUCUCCUCCUACUGAGGCCUCUGACGUCUCCCUACAUGACGACCCACCAACCCUCUGCUUUGAUUCUCUGCCAGCUGUUUCUGGAUUCUGGGCCUCGUGGUCUGUGUCUGACUGACGGAUGCAGAACCUCCUGUGGUGUUUGUGGACCUGUGGUUUCUAUUGGUGACUGCUUUGUGCUCGGCUCAUCGCUCUCAGUCUUCAGGAUCCAGACUCCAGUUUUAAUGGAUGGAAGCUUUGUGUGUAAAUCAUAGUAUUUGUUGUCACAGCAGUCAGUCAUCAAGCAUCUGUUAGUGUGACGUGUUGUUGGACUCACCUUCAGUCUCUGCUGCUGCUGCGUUUCAACACUGAAGCAUCAACACUCGUAAGUGAAGUGAACUGAGUCACCAUCAGUUUGAGUGAGUUCAUAGAACAAGCCUUCCUGUCAGACUCACACAGGAAACAGCUGCUUUUACACAGGUUUAAACUGUGCAUUUGUAACAAACAUUUAACAGCAAGGUCACAAAUAUUUAUCAUAAAGUCUUUUAAUUUAUGUUCAAACUCAACAGUUUUAAAUGUACAGAUGUGGAAACGCUUCCACACUUUGGCUGAUGAAGGUUUUACAGGACGUGUAUAGAUGAUUAUUAGUAGAAUAAAAAAAAGUUGUAGAUUAAAAGCAGAUCAUUGAGUCACUAAGUAAAUUUGUUUAAUUUUAAAGAUGUUUGGAGAUAAAAAUCCUGUUCUAUUUCUACUUCAUCUACAGUAACGUUGUAGUAAAUCUGCAUCCGUGCCACCAGGGGGCAGUCUGGUUUGGUUUUGUUUAGUGUCCUCUUGUUUUGUUGUGGUGUCAGUCAUUUCCUGUAGUUAAUUUAAUUGAGUUCACCUGUUUUAGUGGUUCUCCUCCGCCCCCCUGGAUGGGAGAGUCAUGGAGGCCAUGCUGGUACGGACGCUCAGCGUCCCAGAGGUGCAGGGUCGACAGAGAAGAGCUUUGGACCAGACAUCGGGUGAGUGAUGAGCACGAAGCAGGAGUUGAAACCCUAAAGUCUGGAUCACUUCACAGCAGAUCCCUGUGUUCUGCUGUGAACGCCAGCAGAUCAGUACACUCACUCACUAAUAAGUCGAUCCACCAAACCCCAAUGUUUUUUUCAGCAGGCAUCAGUUUUUGUGUGUACAAUAUUUUUGUGUGAAACAGUUUGACUCCAGAAAUGUUACUUUUUCUAAGAUGAUGUUUGUUUUCCUCCUCAACCACAAUAUGAGGGAUGGGAUCCUUAUUUUUAUUAAAUAUAAAACAUAAAAAGUAUCUCUAUUUGUUAUUCAUAUGUAAAGUAAACCGAGCCUUGAACACAUCAUACAUCCUACUUCAAUUCAUUUUAUUCAAAACAAAGUACAUUUCAAAGUAAGUGUUAUAGUUCAGUUACUAAACACAAACUUGAAGCCUCCAGGUGACAAAUAGUGAUAACUGAGAAGAGAACAGCACGUUUAUAAAAUAAAUACAUCAAUAUUUAUACAUUUAGUUCAAACGUGAUCAAACUCACAUUGGUUUGUUAUUAAAGUAUUAAGUCAUUAAAACAUGUGUGCGCACAUUUUAAAUUGGGUUUAAACUGGAUUCAGACACAGAUGAGUCGUUCAGUUUCAGCUGCUUUCUCACAGAUGCUUCUUUCAUGUGAAUCACAG